rnacentral:rRNA from 1 species
AGCCGGGCGGGUGCUAUACAUGCAAGUCGUACGCUUCUUUUUCCACCGGAGCUUGCUCCACCGGAAAAAGAAGAGUGGCGAACGGGUGAGUAACACGUGGGUAACCUGCCCAUCAGAAGGGGAUAACACUUGGAAACAGGUGCUAAUACCGUAUAACAAUCGAAACCGCAUGGUUUUGAUUUGAAAGGCGCUUUCGGGUGUCGCUGAUGGAUGGACCCGCGGUGCAUUAGCUAGUUGGUGAGGUAACGGCUCACCAAGGCCACGAUGCAUAGCCGACCUGAGAGGGUGAUCGGCCACAUUGGGACUGAGACACGGCCCAAACUCCUACGGGAGGCAGCAGUAGGGAAUCUUCGGCAAUGGACGAAAGUCUGACCGAGCAACGCCGCGUGAGUGAAGAAGGUUUUCGGAUCGUAAAACUCUGUUGUUAGAGAAGAACAAGGAUGAGAGUAACUGUUCAUCCCUUGACGGUAUCUAACCAGAAAGCCACGGCUAACUACGUGCCAGCAGCCGCGGUAAUACGUAGGUGGCAAGCGUUGUCCGGAUUUAUUGGGCGUAAAGCGAGCGCAGGCGGUUUCUUAAGUCUGAUGUGAAAGCCCCCGGCUCAACCGGGGAGGGUCAUUGGAAACUGGGAGACUUGAGUGCAGAAGAGGAGAGUGGAAUUCCAUGUGUAGCGGUGAAAUGCGUAGAUAUAUGGAGGAACACCAGUGGCGAAGGCGGCUCUCUGGUCUGUAACUGACGCUGAGGCUCGAAAGCGUGGGGAGCAAACAGGAUUAGAUACCCUGGUAGUCCACGCCGUAAACGAUGAGUGCUAAGUGUUGGAGGGUUUCCGCCCUUCAGUGCUGCAGCUAACGCAUUAAGCACUCCGCCUGGGGAGUACGACCGCAAGGUUGAAACUCAAAGGAAUUGACGGGGGCCCGCACAAGCGGUGGAGCAUGUGGUUUAAUUCGAAGCAACGCGAAGAACCUUACCAGGUCUUGACAUCCUUUGACCACUCUAGAGAUAGAGCUUCCCCUUCGGGGGCAAAGUGACAGGUGGUGCAUGGUUGUCGUCAGCUCGUGUCGUGAGAUGUUGGGUUAAGUCCCGCAACGAGCGCAACCCUUAUUGUUAGUUGCCAUCAUUCAGUUGGGCACUCUAGCAAGACUGCCGGUGACAAACCGGAGGAAGGUGGGGAUGACGUCAAAUCAUCAUGCCCCUUAUGACCUGGGCUACACACGUGCUACAAUGGGAAGUACAACGAGUCGCGAAGUCGCGAGGCUAAGCUAAUCUCUUAAAGCUUCUCUCAGUUCGGAUUGUAGGCUGCAACUCGCCUACAUGAAGCCGGAAUCGCUAGUAAUCGCGGAUCAGCACGCCGCGGUGAAUACGUUCCCGGGCCUUGUACACACCGCCCGUCACACCACGAGAGUUUGUAACACCCGAAGUCGGUGAGGUAACCUUUUGGAGCCAGCCGCCUAAGGUGGGAUAGAUGAUUGGGGUGAAGUCGUAACAAGAGCCCUAGG